CAGAGUAUAGCUAAAAUAGAAUAGCAUCUCCCUUACACUGAGAAGGCACCCGUGCAAAUCGGGUUACACUGA
rnacentral:tRNA from 1 species